rnacentral:rRNA from 1 species
GAUGAACGCUGGCGGCGUGCCUAAUACAUGCAAGUCGAACGCUGGAAAUCUAGCUUUCUAGAUUGAAGGAUUGGCGAACGGGUGAGUAAUACAUAAGCAACCUACCCACGAAGACUGGGAUAAUCUCUGGAAACGGGGACUAAUACCGGAUAGGUAAUCGGAAGGCAUCUUCUGAUUAUUAAAGGUUAAAAACACUGGUGGAUGGGCUUAUGGCGCAUUAGUUAGUUGGUGAGGUAACGGCCCACCAAGAAGAUGAUGCGUAGCCGGCCUGAGGGGGUGAAAGGCGACAUUGGGAAUGAGACACGGACCAGAAUGCUACGGGAGGCAGCAGUAGGGAAUGUUCGGCAAUGGGGGAAAACCUGACCGAGCAACGCCGCGUGAGUGAGGACGGCCUUCGGGAUGUAAAGCUAUGUUGUAAGGGAAGAACGGUAGAUAGAGAAUAUCUAAAUGACGGUACCUAACCAGAAAGCCACGGCUAACUACGUG